rnacentral:lncRNA from 1 species
UUUCUUGAUAGUCUCCAUGUACUGAAAAACAACAUGAGCUUUGAUGAGGAGAGAAGCUACAUCAACAUAGCUCAAAACUAGAAACAACAGAGAUGCUGAUGGAGCUUUCAAUAAGAAUGGUGUCUCCUUCUGGUCUGAGUCUGUGCCCUAAGCAGACAUUGGGCACUAGCUCCACCCCCAAUCAUUCAAAUCCCAGGUGUUGUAAUAUGCCCAGUAUCAUAGGUGAGGAGGCCAUAACAUCUGCCCCAACAAACCAAUACUGGGUGUUACUGGGACCAGUGGGAUCCAGGGACACAAGAACCUCCUCCCAGAGAGUGGCACGGGUUCCUUCUGUUCUGAGCCAGUGCCCUGGGCAGAUCUUGGACGCUAGCUCCACACCCUGUCCCACAAUACCCAGAAGAAUCUCUACUCCUAGGUACAUAACACGCCCAGGGUCAUAGUUGGUCUAACACACUCAGGAUUCCAGAACUCAAAAGCUUGGUCACACCAGGAUUUUGGGACCCAAGAGGCAAAUUGACUCCCAGGAGCUCUGACACACCGAGAAUCUCAGGAUCCCAGGGUCCCAGAGACAGAUAGAUUCUGAGGAAUUCUGACACAACUAAAAUAUCAGGAGGUACAGGCUACAGUUAGAUACAGUGAGGGUAGAUAGCAAUAGAUAUAACCAGAUGGUGAGAGGCAAGCAUAAGAAUAUUAGCAACAGAAACCAAGGUUACUUGACAUCAUCAGAACCCAGAUCUUCUACCAUAGCAAGUCCUAGAUACCCCAUCACACCAGAAAUGCAAGAAUCAGAUAUAAAAUCACUUCUUAUGUUGAUGAUAGAGGACAUUAAGAAGGACAUAAAUAACUCCCCUUUAAAAAAAUACAGGAGAACAGAGAUAAACUGGUAGAAGCUAUUAAAGAAUUACAGGAAAACACAACCAAACAGGAGAAAGAAUUGAACAAGACUAUCCAGGAUAAAAAAAUGGAAAUAGAAACAAUUAAGAAAUCAAAAGAAGGAGACAACCAGGAUAUAGAAAACCUAGGAAAGCUCCUAACACAAAACGUCCAGGAAAUCGAGGACAAAAUGAGAAGAUGAAACCAAAGGAUAAUAGGUAUAGAACAGAGGGAAGAUACCUAACUUAGAUGGCCAGUAAAUAUCUUGAACAAAAUUAUAGAAGAAAACUUCCCUAACCUAAAGAAAGAGAUGCCCAUGAACAUACAAGAAGCCCUCAGAACUCCAAAUAGACUAGACUAGGAAAGAAAUUCCUCCCAGCAAUAAAAUCAAAAUACCAAAUGCACACAAAAAAAGAAAGGAUAUUAAAAGGUUAUAGGAAAAAGGUAAAGUAAAAUACAAAGGCAGACCUAUCAGAUUACACCAGACUUCUCACCAGAAACUAUAAAAGCCAGAAUAUCCUGGGCAAAUGUUAUACUGUGAGGAGGCGCCCUUGCAAUCGCCAUUACAAGAUGGCGCUGAUAUCCGGUGUUCUAACUAGUAAACAGGUAGUCUGCGCAUGUGCUGGGGUAUUUUUCCAUUCCUUGUACCAUGCCUGUCCCGUGGCGUCAUCUGGGCUGAUAGUGAGCAGCCAGUCAGGGUGAAAUAUGUCCCCAAACGCUCUUGUGAGCUAUUUAAGGACCGAGUUUCCUGUGUCCUGGGCCUCCUCCCCAGAAGCUGAUGACCUUUCUCUCAAGAUGCAUUAAAGCUAUGCUGCAGAAGAACCCGUGUGUGUCCUUGCUGGCGAGACUCCCUUAUCACACAGACACAUCUGGUGCCGAGAACCCGGGAACGCCACAACAUCGCUGGCAUUGAGAAGUUCCCCUGGAAACGGGGCAGGUCCAGAACUGCAGUGGAAGGAGGAAAUUAAUCCCUUUUGGAUUCUGGAGCACCUCACUCGAAGAAUCCAGCUCUUGGAUGAUGAGUCAUAAGAACAAGAUCUCAAGACAUCGAUGGAUCAUACUUCUCAUGCUGGAGAUUCUCAUUCCUAGUAUAUCUGGAGAGUUAAGAUGGGGAAUUAUGUCAACUUUCCUUCUUCCUAUGCCGGUUAUGCAUAAUGCACAAAUAUUUCCAAGCUUUUUCACUACAGAUAAAGAACUGGGACUUGCUUAUUUACCCUUAGAUGAACAGAUUCAGGCUUUACUAGAAAAUAGAACCUUCUUCCUACAGGGAAGCCUGUGCUUUAUGUUAAUUUCCUCGUUACAAGAUAAGGGUCAAUCUAUAUCCUUGUAUUAUCAAUCAGCAGCCUGGUUAAGAAAGAGCUCUUGGGGCGUAACGACUGAUAUAAAGGCUGAUACCAUAGUUAUUAGAGGAUGGUGACCUAGCCGAAAACAUGGAAAUAAUCCACCUUCACAACCAAGAAUGGCACCCUUUUGCAAGGGAGGGUCCAUGGAAGAUGUAAUGUUACCUUGGACAGGUUGCCAAGCUAAAAAAUGUACUUGGGCAGGAGAGAAACAUUUUUCCUUUUCCCCAUAUAUUAGUAGAGAGUAUAAUGAUACUUUUGCUGGAUAUCAUUUCAGUACCUUGGACCUCCUCCGAACUAAUACUAACCCUUUUGAUCAAUGGUUGCUUUGUGGGGUUAAUGGAAGCUGCACUGAUCUCGCCCCCAUGGCAAUGAUUGGAGGAGGUUCUAGUGAGAAAGGAGAAUUGACCUUUGAUUGGAAAAGUACCUUGAAGACCGGUCGAUCUGAUAAGCAGAGUCCAAAUUCUUUUAAAUGGACCACCUCCAAUGUUAGAUAUAAGAAACAGAAAGAGGUAAAUUUUACCACCACCCCGGUAUGUGUAUGGCCCCCAUUUUUGUGGGUGGUAAGUAACACAAGCUUAAAUCAGAAUCAGAUAGAGAUAGAUUUCUCACAAGACAAAUGUUUUUAUGCCUUAUGCUGGGAUGCUAAGAAAUAUCCUUUUGCUUUGGUUACCCGCAUGCCUAGAUUUGUUCCUGUUCCUGUAGAUGCCCCUAAUAGCUUGACUUUGUUUCAAGGGAAAAGAGAUUUUGGUAUUUCUGCUAUUAUAGUUGGAUUGGUGGCCACAGCGGCGGUUGCAGCCUCUGUCACGGCCUCGGCACUUGCUCUAUCUACUAGUAUUCAAACAACACAAACUAUUAAUGAGCUUUCUAUGACGGUCACAAUGGCUUUAGAUAAACAAGCCACAGCCAACUCACAAAUACAAGGAGGGUUGUUGCUGAUAAAUCAGUGCAUCGACUUAGUCCAAGAGCAGGUGGAUAUUCUUUGGCAGUUGGCUCAAUUGGGCUGUGAAUACAAGAUGCCUGGCCUUUGUGUUACUUCUGUUCAGUUUAAAAAUUCUACAAGAGCAGCAAAUUAGUCAAAAACUUUGUCUCGUUAUAUGUUACAGAAUUGGACCAUGGAAUUUGAGCAAACACUUUGAGAGUUGAGAGUUGCUAUUCUACAAGUGAAUUCUACGUGUCUCGACCUUUCGCUGACAAAGGGCUUCUCCACCUGGAUUUCCUCUGCAUUUUCCUACUUUAAGGAGUGGGUGGGGGUAGGCUUGUUUGCCGUGAUCCUAUGCGGUGGAGCGUUGCUUUUGCUCUGGAUGGUCUGUAACCUUAAAGCCCAAACAAAAAGGGACAAGAUGGUGAUAGCCCAAGCACUUGCAGCAUUAGAACACGGUACCUCCCCUGAUAUAGGGUUAUCUAUACUUAAGCAAUAGGUCGCUGUCCGCUCAGCUCUUGCAACCCACGAGGCUAUUCUCAUUGCACGGGAUAGAGUGAGUGUGCUUCAGCAGCCCGAGAGAGUUGCACGGCUAAGCACUGCAGUAGAAAGGCUCUGCGGCAUAAAAUGAGCCUAUUCUAGGGAGACAUGUCAUCUUGUAUGAAGGUUGAGUGUCCAAGUGUCCUUCCCCCAGGAAAAUCGACACAGGAGGGACCAAGACCCCUCCGGGUGAUGAGCCUGGGAGGAGGUUUUGUGUAAUGCCCCUAUUUUUGCACACUGGGGAUUUGACCUCUAUCUCCACUCUCAAUAUAUGGGUGGCCUAUUGCUCUUAAAUAAAAGAAAAGGGGGAGAUGUGAGGAGCUGCCCUUGCAAUCGCCAUUACAAGAUGGCCCUGAUAUCCGGUGUUCUAACUAGUAAACAAGUAGUCUGCGCAUGUGCUGGGGUAUUUUUCCAUUCCUUGUGCCCUGCCUGUCCCAUGGCAUCAUCUGGGCUGAUAGUGAGGGUGAAAUAUGUCUCCAACUGCUCUUGUGGACUAUUUAAGGACCAAGUUUCCUGUCUUCUGGGCCUCCUCCCCAGAGGCUGAUGAUCUUUCUCUCGAGAUGCAUUAAAGCUAUGCUGCAGAAGAAU